GAUGAAUGCUGGCGGCGUGCCUAACACAUGCAAGUCGAGCGGCAGCGAGUUUUACACUGAAUUCUGGAAGCUUCUGAGUAGUACAGAAGAUUUAUUCAAGAGUUUUGUGUAAAAUGUCGGCGAGCGGCGGACGGCUGAGUAACGCGUAGGAAUUUGCCCCAAAGUGAGGAAUCACUGCCCGAAAGGGUAGCUAAUGCCGCAUAUGGUCUUCGGAUUAAAGCCUUCGGGCGCUUUGGGAGAAGCCUGCGUUGGAUUAGGUAGUUGGUAGGGUAAUGGCCUACCAAGCCGACGAUCCAUAGCUGGUCUGAGAGGAUGAUCAGCCAGACUGGAACUGAGACACGGUCCAGACUCCUACGGGAGGCAGCAGUGAGGAAUCUUCCACAAUGGGCGAAAGCCUGAUGGAGCAACGCCGCGUGAAGGAUGAAGGCCUUCGGGUUGUAAACUUCUUUUAUGAGUGAAGAAUAUGACGGUAACUCAUGAAUAAGCACCGGCUAACUACGUG
rnacentral:rRNA from 1 species